rfam:Zootermopsis nevadensis contig8787, whole genome shotgun sequence.
GCCACGGUGGUCUAGCGGUUAGAACGCUGGUCUUGUAAUCCUGGGGUCUCGGGUUCGAUGCCCGGCGGUGCCC